UACGUAGGGUGCGAGCGUUGUCCGGAAUUACUGGGCGUAAAGAGCUCGUAGGUGGUUUGCCGCGUUGUUCGUGAAAACCGGGGGCUUAACCCUCGGCGUGCGGGCGAUACGGGCAUCACUAGAGUUCGGCAGGGGAGACUGGAAUUCCUGGUGUAGCGGUGAAAUGCGCAGAUAUCAGGAAGAACACCAAUGGCGAAAGCAGCUUUCUGGGACGGUACUGACGCUGAGACGCGAAAGCGUGGGGAGCGAACAGG
rnacentral:rRNA from 1 species